GUCAACAUUUCUGAUGCUCCCUGACUCCAAAGAAGAGGAGGGAAGGAUUUCAGACUGGAUAUCAGGAAAAAUUUCUUCCUUUGAAAGAGUGGUCAGGAGAACAGGCUGCCCAGGGAGGUGGAAGAGUCACAGUCCCUGGAGACGUCCAGGAAACACAUACACAUUGUACUGAGGGACAUGGCUUAGUGGACAAGUAUUGGUGAUAGGUGGCUGGUUGGACUGGAUGAUCUUGGGCGUCUUUUCCAAUCUUGGUGAUUCUAUGAUUCCAAGAUGGUGCUACCUGGGCAUGCGUUACAGACUCCCUUUAAGCAUGGGGAACAGGAGCAGGAGUGGGGCUGUGCAAUUCACACUAGGCGAAAGAAAACUCACAGCCCCACUUUCCCUGUCCUACUUUUGCCCUCCACUGUAGCUACUGCAGGAAUGCCUGCAGUUCCUUGCACCUUGCAUCCAAGGUAUUAGAAUUCCUAUUAACCCUUCCAUCAGGAGCCAAUUAAAAAAGGAUGGUCAAGCAAUUUUUAAUUACUUUGUGAUGGUUUAAUAAGCCUCCAGGAAGCACAGUGCUUGAAAUCUCUCUUCUGCCCAUACCGCAGCCCUCUGCUGCAUGAACUCACGGGUUGGUUACUGUGCAGAUUCUCACAGACUCCCAGGUGGUGAUAAAAGGAUAUGAAAAUAACAUCAAGUGAGGAAGAAAAGACGCUGACCCCGAAGACUCCGUUAUGAUGAAUGGUGGUAAUAUGCAACAAUUCGGGGCACUUCUGUGCUUUUGCCUUGCCUAAAAUUCUGAGUAUACGGCAAGGACUGCCUGGAGAAUUUCAGCUGUCAGAGGGCACUCCACCUUGAAGGCUGCUGUGCCCUUAAAGUUAUAUCCCUGCACUGGAGGGUGGCUGUGUGGCCAUUUUGAGCGUGGAUUGAAGUAGUUAAGAGACACAGUUUGUACCUUUUUACUAUGAAAUUGGGUUUGUUGGCUCGUUUUUCUAGUUACUGGUAUUGAUGGUUACAGAACACCCGUGUGAUUGCCAAGCACUGUUUCUAGCCACGAAGAGCAAGCAGUCCACUGAUUUAAUAAUAAUAAUAAUAAUAAUAAACCAACCAAACAAAAUUAAUCCAAAAGAGGGUCUAUUUUUACUACGGCAUCCACAUCCAGACACCAGC
ensembl:lncRNA